rnacentral:lncRNA from 1 species
GGCUGGAGCCCCCUCUCCACCACCCCCUCCCCAGCCCUAAUGUGUGCCCAGAGCUUUGAGCAGCACCACCCUGUUGAGUGAGGGGAGGUUUUGAGACUCCAGUGGGGAAGGAAGUGUGGACUCCGCACAGCACAAGGGAAGGCUUAGGUGUGCCUCGAGUUCCCAGCUGUGUGCUGGGUCCAUGGCAUGCGUCCCCUCUUCCAACCUCCCAGCUUCCAGAAGGUGGGGGGCAGGUCAGCCCCUCAGAGGGACUGCGAUGUCUGCGACACCAAGGAAGGGAGAAGGGUGUCUAUAAACAGGCUCACUGCCCAGGGACCUCUCAAGGGGUUCUUUGUGGGCCAAGAAAACGGGAAACACAUACACACACAGCUUUCUGAUUAUUUAAGUCCAUCUAAGCAUAUUUUGGAGGAAUGAAUGUACAUUGAAAUAAUCUUCCUAAAUAGAUUCCUUUAAGGGGAGUUUGUUCCAGCUGGAGAAGUUGUGCUCUCUGUAGAGGCUCUGAACUCCUCUGGCUACGACGACGGGAAUGCAGACAGGGAGGAGGAUGCGUGGGUGGUAGGGGGAGCAGCAGCGCCCCUACCUGCACAGAAGCUUGUCCAACCUCUGCACAAAGCGGACUCCCAGUGGUUGUUUUUGGAAGAUGCCAUUCGGUGAGGGAGCUCAAGCUGGAUGCAUGGGGUGACCACAGGGAGAGCAUCUGACAGCCCAGCUGGGUGCCUGGCUGAUAGCCCACACCAAGUACCAGGCAGGUAAGUGAGACCACUGGGCACCAUCCAGCCCGCCUGGCCGCCUUCCGACUGUAGCUGCACGAGUGAGCCAGCUGCUGGCUCAUCCAGUGGACAGGUCAUCUGAGUCCUGAUCCACAGAAGCCUGAACAAUACACCUUAUGGUAAGCUUUAAGGUGGGGUGGUUUGUAGCACAGAAAUGGAUCUUUGAAGCAGGUGUGAUUCUCCAUGCAAGGCUCUGGCAAUUGCCCCAACCUUUAUGCAGUCUCCAGUGACGAAUUUCUUUACCCAUUUAUUUUGAAACGUGUAUUUUGGCCGCAGCACCCAGAAUCUGACUCCUCCACCUUGGUCGUCAUGGAAAGCUCAUCUCUGGUGGCAGUGUUAUCAUUCUGUCAAUUACUCAAGAGCCCAAUACAAACAGGUAUCACAGAGGAUGUGACUGUCCACUCUGUGUACCUCCUAGCCCACUCCUUGGGGCUAAUGAAUAAUUUGUGUAUUACCAUCCACCGUUUUCUCAUUCCUUUAUACUGUUUUUAAUCAUUCAUUUUUUUUCUUUCAACAAUUGUAAAUGGAUUCCUACCCAGGGGGCAAGGCUGGCUGCCAGCACUGCCGUCGAGGCAUGGGCAGGAAGCAGUGGACUCUGACCUCAGUGCGUUUAUGGGAAGUGGAGGCAGAUGGUCAAGAAAUGAGAAUCUACACACAGGGAAGAUAAAUCUGGUUUGUAACAAGGGCGGUGCAGGAAAUAGACAUGGAGAUGGGGCAGAAGGGAACUGUGUGGGCAGCUCGCUUUAAGAGGCCAGGGGAGGUGACUUGGGAACUGAAUCCUGAGGGAGAGAAGGGAUAGCAGUGGGAAGAGCCGAGGGAAGCUUUGUCCAGAGAGAGGGAAUGGCAGGUGCCGUGGUCUGAGGCGAGAGAGGGCUGGGUGACCUGGACUAGAACAGACACCAGCCAGACAGCAUAGAAAACAAGUAGAGGAGCUGGGCGCGGUGGCUCACACCUGUAAUCCCAGCACUUUGGGAGGCUGAGGCGGACAGAUCACCUGAGGUCGGGAGUUCGAGACCAGCCUGACCAACAUGGAGAAACCCUGUCUCUACUAAAAAUACAAAAUUAGUUGGUCAUGGUGGUGCAUUCCUAUAAUCCCAGCUACUCGGAGGCUGAGACAGGAGAAUCACUUGAACCCAGGAUGUGGAGGUUGUGGUUAGCCAAGAUUGUGCCAUUGCACUCCAGCCUGGGCAACAACAGAGAAACUCCGUCUUAAAAAAAAAAAAAAAAAAAGUAGAGGGUGACAAAGCUGGCACGGGAGGAGGGAGUCUCAUGGGUCAUUGGGAAAAAUGUAAAUUUCUUUUUUUUUUUUUUUUUUUGAGACAGAGUCUUGCUCUGUCCCCCAGGCUGGAUUGCAGUGGUGCCAUCUCGGCUCACUGCAACCUCUGCCUCCCAGCUUCAAGCGAGUCUCCUGCCUUAGCCUCCUGAGUAGCUGGGAUUACAGGCGCCUGCUACCAUGCCCAGCUAAGUUUUGUAUUUUUAAUAGAGACACAGUUUCACCAUGUUGGCCAGGCUGGUCUCCAACUCCCGACCUCAAGCGAUCCACUCGCCUCGGCCUCCCAAAAUGCUGGGAUUACAGGUGUGAGCCACCGCACUCGGCCUCGAUUUCAUUUUAAAAGACAACAACUGGGUGUACCCUCCCGCAUGUGCCCACAUGCACGUGCACAUGCAUACAUGGGUGUGUGAGCCUACAUGCAUGUGUACAUGUGCAUAUCCAUGUGUGGUUGGGGUAGGGGUUGUUUCAUGUCACCAAACAGUGACAUGACCUGGUUUUUCUUUUGAAGAGUCACUCCAGAGCUGGGCCAGGUGGCUGAUGCCAGUAAUCCUGGCACUAUGGGAGGUCAAGGAUGGAGGAUUGCUUGAGACCAGGAGUUUGAAGACCAGCCUGGGCAACAUAGCAAGACCCUGUCUCUACAAAAAAUUCCCCAGGCAUGGUGGCAUGGUCCUGUUGUCCCAGCUACUCAGGAGGCUGAGAUUGGAGGAUUGCCUGAGCUCAGGAGUUCGAGGCUGCAGUGAGAUAUGAUCACGCUGCAGCACUCCAGCCUGGGUGACAGAGACAGAGCUUAUCUCUAAAAAAAGAAAAAAACAAAGUCACUCCAGUAGCUGCAUGCAAAGGGAAUGGGAGCUGAGCUGGUGAACCGGAGACUGUCAGACAUCCCAGGCGACAGGAUACCACAACAGUCCUGUGUUCUGCCAAACAAGCAACGACCAUGCUUCUCUAGCCAGGAAAAGGAAAGAAUGGCUUUUCCUCGUAGCACGGUGGUGUCGGGAGCAACUCCCUAUUCCCAAUAUUGGGUAAGAUAGGGUUGGAUUGGGCGCGAAAAGAGCUUAGCCCAGAGGGGAGACAUGGUGCAUUUGCCAGAAAUGGUGGGUGCCACUCUAAAGGUGGGUGAGGAGAAUCUUCUCUCCAACCGUCUUCGCCCCCUGGGCACAGUGCCAUCACCUGGGAUUUGCUGCCCCCCUGCACACCUGCCCCAGGAGCAGGAGGAGACUCAAUAGAUAGCAUCAGACUAGAGACUGGGGCUGGGAACAGGGCUGGGAGCCUAGAGCAGAAGCCAGGUCCAGAGAGGGUUAAGGGGAGAGGACAGUCCCCAAGGGAACCAGAAGGAGCCCCUGGAGGGCAGGAGGCAAGUGACCAUCACCAAGGAACCCGAGGAGGAGGCUCAGGAGCAGAGGCUUCGAGAGGCUGCAGGACUGGCUGUCAGCACCGUGUUAGCCAUUAGCCAUCAUGUCCUAGUCCCUUCACGGUUCCUAGGUCAGGGUCCUCCUGCUUCUGUGACGGUCACAGCAUGUGCUCCUGUGGUCCUCCUCUGGUUGCUCUUAGGACACAGGAGGCUUACAUCACUUCAGAGUGACCGCAAGCUGCUGGGUCAGCAAUGACCUGCCCCACCCCUUCCUGAACUCAGGUCCCCUGUGCCACCCACAUCAGUGUCACAGAAUAAGGAAGUUCUCUGCUGUGUCUUCCCACAAGCAUUGGUUUUGAUUUCCCUGCUCUGACAAUAGCCCUACAGGGAUGCUGUGGAGUGACAAUGAGGAAAGCGAGCCUUGGCCACACUUCAGUCACUUUGGGCAGCAGGGACCAGGAAGGCAGGAGGCCAGGGGACAGGCAGGAGGACAGCCCUGCAGAAAUGUGUGGGAAGCUGUGCUCCUGCCCCAAGUGAGCCCCUGAGUCCCAACGGCAGACCCCCCAUCCUUGGCCAGCUGUCUCAUGCAAGAGAGUCCACAUCCUGGGGACAGUCCCACCCUGGCCACCCGGACCAAGCACAGCUCCUCGCCCUCCCAGCCUGGCCGGUGCUCGCUGAGGUGGAAACCUCAGAAGAAGGUGGGAGUGAUCCACCCUCCUCAGCACAGUGUCCCUGCCAUCUUGGUGGGCACCACUCCUCAUGGGCAGACCAGAGGAGGCCCUGUUCUCUGCCAUGAGGAUGCCACCUCCCAUUCUGUCUCCAGACCUUGGACUUCUCUAGUCAAGAGGAUAUCCCCUGGGGGCUGUCAACUCCCAAUUGAGUCUCGGGUGGUUCCGGUGUGAGCUCAUCUUGGUGUGUUGUAAACUCAGCGGCCUCAUCUGCAGCGGGUUGGGCUGGGAGCCCAUCACGGAUGGGUUUACAAACCAGAAAUGUUAGACUACAAACAACAAUUUCACAUCUGUAAACCACUUCAUCUGAUGACAAACAUGGCCUCAGGCUCAAAUGUUUACAGCAAAUUGGGGCAAAAAUACUGUCUGGAGUUAAAUUCUCAGUAGCAAAUUGUACAAGCCGGAGAGCAGGGCAGCGCCUCCAGAGAGGAAAGAAGAGAGGGUGAGCCUCUCAUGCCUCCCCUACACUGGUCCCUUUGCCCAGAAUGACUGCACGUUUUUCAUCACUUGCUUCCAACAAGUGGAGUUAGGACUGUUAUCAAACCCAGAGACACAAGCAAAGGGCAGCUUUGACAAGCCGGUCCCUCCCGCACCCGCCCCUGCGUGGGAAAUGCCAAAGUCCUCUGCUCAGGGCGGGGCUGGGGUGCGCCCCGGAGUGCUCUGGGGCACCUGGAGGAGGUUUCUUUGUGUGAAGUCUCUGUCACUGUGUGUGGGUGUGUGUGUGUAUGUGUUUUGUGCAUGUGUUGUGUGUGUAUGUGUUGUGUGUGUUGUGUGUAUGUGUGUCUUGUGUGUGUUUGUGUGUUGUGUGUGUCUAGGCCAGGGAAACAGUGAGUCGUUUCUGCCCAGGAGCAGCUGCAUGUGAGGCCCGUUCUUGGUCUUAUAUGCGGCUUCUGAGGACUUUCCAGAAAUCGUGAGGUGGGAGCCGCCGCUGUAAUCAGGCAUAUAAGUCACACAUCCCAGAGUUGGGAACCAGCGCAGAAGGCCCAGGACAGACGCCAAGCUGAAGCCACAGCCCUGACACCUGCCGCCCUAGCCCUGGGCUCCGUCUCUGCCUCUGGAGCCUCCUGUCCCCGGGACUCAGCUCCCCUCCCCUCUGUGGCUGGGCUCUGCCUCCUGGGCUGCUCCUCUCCCCAGCCCUCUCUUUGGGCCCAGCCUAGACACCUGCCCCCUCCCUGGGCUCCUUCCCCCGACUGGGCCUGUCCUGGGUCUCAGCCAUGGCCUCCCCUGGGCUCCCUCUCUAGGGGGGUGGAAUCAGGAAGGGGUGGACAGAGGGCGGCUCCCGAGGGCCCCUGACUGCACGUUUGUGGUUCCUUUCCAACAGGGAGACUGGCUGCUGGCUGUCCUCUUACUGCUGGGCCUGUCCCUUCCAAUCAGCGCCCGGGGCUCUGUCCGCUACACAAGGAAAGACAUCUACACAUUUGCUAGUGUUUGUGGAAAC